UACGGGGGGAGCAAGCGUUGUUCGGAUUUACUGGGCGUAAAGGGCGCGUAGGCGGCGUAACAAGUCACUUGUGAAAUCUCCGGGCUUAACCCGGAGCGGCCAAGUGAUACUGUUGUGCUAGAGUGCGGAAGGGGCUACUGGAAUUCUCGGUGUAGCGGUGAAAUGCGUAGAUAUCGAGAGGAACACCUGCGGCGAAAGCGGCGCGCUGGACCACUACUGACGCUGAGGAACGAAAGCUAGGGGAGCAAACAGG
rnacentral:rRNA from 1 species